UACGUAGGGGCAAGCGUUGUCCGGAAUCAUUGGGCGUAAAGCGCGUGUAGGCGGCUCGGUAAGUCUGCUGUGAAAGUCCCAGGGCUCAACCCGUGGGAUGCCGGUGGAUACUGUCGAGCUCGAGUCCGGAAGAGGCGAGUGGAAUUCCUGGUGUAGCGGUGAAAUGCGCAGGAUAUCAGGAGGAACACCAAUGGCGAAAGGCAGCUCGCUGGGACGUGACUGACGCUGAGACGCGAAAGCGUGGGGAGCAAACAGG
rnacentral:rRNA from 1 species